GCUUUGGUUCUAGGAAAACGCUCUGGAAAGAGCGGCCAUAGAAGGUGAUAGCCCUGUAUCUGAAAGGGCCAUUUCAGUGAAGAUGAGUAGGGCGGGACACGUGGUAUCCUGUCUGAAUAUGGGGGGACCAUCCUCCAAGGCUAAAUACUCCUGACUGACCGAUAGUGAACCAGUACCGUGAGGGAAAGGCGAAAAGAACCCCGGGAGGGGAGUGAAAAAGAACCUGAAACCGCAUGCUUACAAAAAGUAGGAGCCCGCAAGGGUGACUGCGUACCUUUUGUAUAAUGGGUCAGCGACUUACAUUCAGUGGCAAGGUUAACCGAAUAGGGAAGCCGUAGAGAAAUCGAGUCCGAAUAGGGCGUCCAGUCGCUGGGUGUAGACCCGAAACCAAGUGAUCUAUCCAUGGCCAGGA
rnacentral:rRNA from 1 species